rnacentral:rRNA from 1 species
AUACGUAGGUGGCAAGCGUUGUCCGGAUUUAUUGGGCGUAAAGCGAGCGCAGGCGGUUUCUUAAGUCUGAUGUGAAAGCCCCCGGCUCAACCGGGGAGGGUCAUUGGAAACUGGGCGACUUGAGUGCAGAAGAGGAGCGUGGAAUUCCAUGUGUAGCGGUGAAAUGCGUAGAUAUAUGGAGGAACACCAGUGGCGAAGGCGACUCUCUGGUCUGUAACUGACGCUGAGGCUCGAAAGCGUGGGGAGCAAACAGGAUUAGAUACCCUGGUAGUCCACGCCGUAAACGAUGAGUGCUAAGUGUUGGAGGGUUUCCGCCCUUCAGUGCUGCAGCUAACGCAUUAAGCACUCCGCCUGGGGAGUACGACCGCAAGGUUGAAACUCAAAGGAAUUGACGGGG